AUUGAACGCUGGCGGCAGGCCUAACACAUGCAAGUCGAGCGGAGCGGCGGACGGGUGAGUAAUGCCUAGGAGUCUGCCUGGUAGUGGGGGAUAACGUCAGGAAACGGGGGCUAAUACAGCAUAAUAUCAGAUGAGCCUAGGUCGGAUUAGCUAGUUGGUGGGGUAAAGGCCGACAAAGGCGACGAUCCGUAACUGGUCUGAGAGGAUGAUCAGUCACCCUGGAAAUGUUACAAGGGCCAGACUCGUACGGUAGGCAGCAGUGGGGAAUAUUGGACGAUGGGCGAAAGCCUUAUCCAGCCAUGCCGCGUGUGUGAAGAAGGUCUUCGGAUUUUAAAGCACUUUAAGUUGGGAGGCGUUACCAACAGAAUAAGCACCGGCUAACUUCGUGCCAGCAGCCGCGGUAAUUC
rnacentral:rRNA from 1 species